rnacentral:rRNA from 1 species
UACGGAGGGGGCAAGCGUUGUUCGGAAUUACUGGGCGUAAAGGGCGCGUAGGCGGCCUUCUAAGUCGAACGUGAAAUCCCCGGGCUCAACCUGGGAACUGCGUCCGAUACUGGAAGGCUUGAGUCCGGGAGAGGGAUGCGGAAUUCCAGGUGUAGCGGUGAAAUGCGUAGAUAUCUGGAGGAACACCGGUGGCGAAGGCGGCAUCCUGGACCGAUAUUGACGCUGAGGCGCGAAAGCCAGGGGAGCAAACGGG